CCAGCUGGGCAGAGGGAUCCUCCUCCCAUCGUCACUGAAUAAAAAGAAGCUUGAUGGAGGAGCCUUCAUGGUGCUGCUUUAUCUGCAGUGGCUGCAUUAUGAAUGGUGUGGAUCAAGAGUUCUGUUUCUAAGAGUGAUGACUGCAAUGUGACCCAAAUAGGAAAUGGCAGGUCAAAAGCAGUGCUUGAAGACCAGACUUUUUUGUCUCUGGAGUGACUUAGUACUUCUUGCUCUUGCCAAAUUUCUUGCAUUAUUAUGUGUAUAUUGCAGCAACCUUUCUGUAUUGAUGGGGUUUAGAAGCAGAAAUAUUUUUCCAGUUAUAAACUCCAUGUGUCUGUGCUUAAAACCAAUGAGGGAUGAGUUGUGAAAUAUCUGUCCACCCUGAGGCAUUGAGAUAAGGAAACAAGAACUCUUACAGAGACCUCGAGAGCCUGAGACAUCAUGAUAAGGAAGGGAAGACAUUUACAGGGACCCUGAAACCGGCCAGAUCCACCCUAGCAAUUUGGGUUCAGUGACGAGCUAUACAGCUCGGCACAUUUGGCAACCAAAAUGAAAAGGGCAGUGCAAGGAAGACUGUUUGCCUUCAUUCUUAGAACCCCAGACCACCAAGGUAGCACUGUGCCUGCGUGAAAGAUGAGGACCCCACAUCAGGCAGAAGUAAAACGCUUCUCAGAAGUACUUUGUAUAUGCAUAAUCCUUUCCUGGAACUCUCCUGAAUAUGUAAUAAGUAAUGACAUAUAAACCACAAGGUUGGAGCCUGGGCUGUGUGUGUAUCUGGUGGAGAGAUUCCCCAUCCUGUGCACCAGCAUGCUAAUAAAACAUACCUGCUUUAGAAA